GUUUGUGUCUGGCCUUUCUCCUACUCCAAGACCGGCUCCACUUCGGGGCUCGCUGCCAUGGAGACGGCUCCGGAUUUAGGAAUACAUUUCCUAGGCUUCCGCAACUAACGUUGUUGUCCCACCUCCAAGAAGAAUGAGGUUAUGGUGACAAUCGAAGGGUGAGGACGGCAGAGAAGAAUUUUAUUGAGUGACAAAACAGCUCUCAGCUGAAGAUGAUGUGAGGGUGGUCCCCCACCUGAAGCUGGGUGGUCUCUUUCUUAAUGUGGUUGGGUCCAGGGCUUUUAUGGGCUCAGAAUGGGGAGUGCACUCUCAUUGGUUUGUGAGUAAGCAAUAAAGGCUAAAACAAAACCACCACUCAAAGGUGGGCAUGAUAGUGUAAAAAAACCAAUUAAGGAAGGGUAGGUGUAUGGAAAAUAGGUGAAGGGUGAGGAUCAGUCAGAGGAAGGUGUCCCAAACAGGAGGGGAGGUUCUCAAUCCAGUCCAAGGAUUUACCUGGGACUUGUUGCUAGCCUUUAAACUGUCUUUGGCUUAAAGGUGGGGUUUCACUGGGGGCCUGUCCCUAUCUGCCUAGGCAUUUUACUGCCUCCUGCUGCUAUUACCAGCCAUUCAGGAGUUGCAGUGAGCUGUGAUUCUCCUAUUGCACUCCAUCCUGGGUGACAGAGUAAGACCUUGUCUCAAUAAAUAAAUAAAAAUAACAUCUGGCAGGGUUAGUGAUUAUGCUUCUGAUAGUGACAUGAGGCAGUCAAAUGCCUAGGCAGAUAGGGGUGGGUCCCUGGUGAAACCCCACCUCCAAGCAGAAGACAGUUUAAAGCCUGAAAAUGAAGCUACAAGUUAAAUCCUCAGACCAGACUGAGAAUCUUUCCUCUGAUUGAUCCCCACCCUUCACCUGUCUUACCCUUCACCUUUCCUAAUUGGUUUUCUACACUGUCGUGCCCACCUUUCAGUGAUGUCUUCACUUUAACCUUUUUUGCAUACUCACAAACCAAUCAGCAGGCACUCCCCAUUCUGAGUCCAUAAAAAGCCCUGGACCCAGCCACACUGAGAGAAGAAAAAACCACCCCACUGCAGGGGUGGGGAACCACCCGACCGCACCCUGCAUCCCUUCUCCGCCAAGAGCUGUUUCAUCAGUCAAUAAAGUUCUUCUCCAUCCAUUCUCACCCUUCAACUGGCAGCAUAUUCUUCUUGGAUGCAAGACAAGAGUUCUGGAACCGCCAAACUCAGGUACUGAACCCCACCACUUGCAUAUGAGUAGUGGGCUGAGACAAUGCUUUGGAGCAACUGACAACCACUCCUGGGCUUUAAGGCCUCAGUUUAUAGUCUUCAGCAAGACUUCUGAAUAAACUAGCUUUAAUUAUUUAAAAGCUUGAUUUUUUUUUUUCUUUAGUUCACAUGUCCCUGGAUCACUCAAUGUGUUUUUUUGGUCCGCCUGGAACAAGAUGAGGUGGGACUAGCCUUUCAGGAGGAGUUAUUCUGGAGUCCUUGGGGGUAACCUCACCCUCUGUGGCCCCUUUGAUAGGUGGGUAGUAGGAUUGGGGAGCGUGGAAAGUGGGGACUCCCUUGCUCAAUAACAAUUAUUGCAUCUCCAGCUGGGAGCUAACACUUGUAGGACGGUUCCUUGGGAAGGCCCUGAGCUACCAGACUCCACCUGCAACCUUCUGAUCAGAGAAGAGGACCAGAGCUUCCUCUAGAGAGAUCCAGGGUUUUAUCUUAAGAAUGGAUUAAUUGCACUAUGCUGUGCAAUGUGAUGCGCAGUGCAAGGCAAUAGAAGCAAAUAGUUUAGUCCUAAGAGAACCCCCCCACCCCAUGCUUCUGAGGGACUCCUAUGAGAGGCCUUGGCUAUUUGGAGAAGAAAGAAGGUCUAAAACAAAUAGGGCAUUUUUUUCUCUCUUGAGGGUUGACGACAUCGAAUUCAGAUGCAAGUUUGCAAGUUGUACACCUGCCACAUUUAGCAGAAAACUGCUGACCCAGGCAGCUGAUCUAAAAUUCAUUCAAAUCAGCAAGUUCAUUAUGCAUAGCUUCCUUGUUUUUGGAAGUGGAAAGCCAGAGUCUUGGUGUAAACUAGGUUCCU